AAUUAGCUCAGAUGACUAGAGCGUCCCGAUAGCAUUCGGGAAGGCCACCGGUUCGAAUCCGGUAUUCUCCA
rnacentral:tRNA from 1 species